UUCGAUCAUGGCUCAGAUUGAACGCUGGCGGGAUGCUUUACACAUGCAAGUCGAACGGCAGCACGGACUUCGGUCUGGUGGCGAGUGGCGAACGGGUGAGUAAUGUAUCGGAACGUGCCUAGUAGCGGGGGAUAACUACGCGAAAGCGUAGCUAAUACCGCAUACGCCCUUCGGGGGAAAGCGGGGGGACCUUCGGGCCUCGCACUAUUAGAGCGGCCGAUAUCGGAUUAGCUGGUUGAAGGUGGGAGCAACGGCUCUACCAAGGCGACGAUCCGUAGCUGGUUUGAGAGGACGACCAGCCACACUGGGACUGAGACACAGCCCCCGGACUCCUGCAGGGAGGCAGCAGUGGGGAAUUUUGGACAAUGGGGGAAACCCUGAUCCAGCCAUCCCGCGUGUACGAUGAAGGCCUUCGGGUUGUAAAGCACUUUUUGGCAGAAAAGAAACGGCACGGGAUAAUACCCCGUGCAACUGACGGUACCUGCAGAAUAAGCACCGGCUAACUACGUGCCAGCAGCCGCGGUAAUACGUAGGGUGCAAGCGUUAAUCGGAAUUACUGGGCGUAAAGCGUGCGCAGGCGGUUCGGAAAGAAGAUGUGAAAUCCCAGAGCUUAACUUUGGAACUGCAUUUUUAACUACCGAGCUAGAGUGUGUCAGAGGGAGGUGGAAUUCCGCGUGUAGCAGUGAAAUGCGUAGAUAUGCGGAGGAACACCGAUGGCAGAGGCAGCCUCCUGGGAUAACACUGACGCUCAUGCACGAAAAGCGUGGGAGCAAACAGGAUUAGAUACCCUGGUAGUCCACGCCCUAAACGAUGUCAACUAGCUGUUGGGGCCUUCGGGCCUUGGUAGCGCAGCUAACGCGUGAAGUUGACCGCCUGGGGAAACCACCGAUCGCAAGAUUAAAACUCAAAGGAAUUGACGGGGACCCGCACAAGCGGUGGAUGAUGUGGAUUAAUUCGAUGCAACGCGAAAAACCUUACCUACCCUUGACAUGUCUGGAAUCCCGAAGAGAUUUGGGAGUACUCGCAAGAGAACCCGGAACACAGGUGCUGCAUGGCUGUCGUCAGCUCGUGUCGUGAGAUGUUGGGUUAAGUCCCGCAACGGCACCCAGCCCUUGUCAUUAGUUGCUACGAAAGGGCACUCUAAUGAGACUGCCAGUGACAAACCGGAGGAAAGUGGAGAUGACGUCAAGUCCUCAUGGCCCUUAUGGGUAGGGCUUCACACGUCAUACAAUGGUCGGGACGGAGGGUCGCCAACCCGCGAGGGGGAGCCAAUCCCAGAAACCACAGAUCGUAGUCCGGAUCGCAGUCUGCAACUCGACUGCGUGAAGUCGGAAUCGCUAGUAAUCGCGGAUCAGCAUGUCGCGGUGAAUACGUUCCCGGGUCUUGUACACACCGCCCGUCACACCAUGGGAGUGGGUUUUACCAGAAGUAGUUAGCCUAACCCAAUGAGGAGGGCGAUUACCACGGUAGGAUUCAUGACUGGGGUGAAGUCGUAACAAGGUAACUCUA
rnacentral:rRNA from 1 species